rnacentral:rRNA from 1 species
GAUGAACGCUGGCGGCGCGCCUAACACAUGCAAGUCGAACGAUUACAGCACCUUCGGUUGUGUAUAGAUUGGCGAACGGCUGAGUAACACGUGUGCAACCUGCCCCUUUCAUUGGGAUAGCCACUGGAAACCGUUGAUAAUACCGAAUACUUCGAUACUUCCGCUUGGAAGACUCGAGAAAGCACAGGCUGAGUGGUAUGGGACCGCGGUCUGUUAGCUUGUUGGUGGGGUAACUGCCUACCCAGGCAAUGCUGCGUAGCUGGGUUGAGAGAACGACCAGCCCGAUUGGGAUUGAGCCACGGCACAGCCUACUACGGGAGGCAGCAGUGGGGAAUCUUGUACAAUGGGAGAAGGCAUGAUGCAGCGACGCAGCGUGCGGGAUGAAGGCAAUCGGGUUGUAAUCCGCAUUCAGCAGGGACGAGGCGAAAGUGACGGUACCUGCAGAAGAAGCCCCGGCUAACUACGUG